CCUGCGUCUGCGUCAGGCGAACGAGCCUUCACCACUCUAAGGUUGGCCAGCGUCAUCCCAUCUAGCUGUCGCUCACCAAAAAUUCUAUUUCGGGACGCCCGAACACGUUCUUCAUAUGCGGUCGCCGUCCCCGAAGGCGUAUGUUCCGCCAUCAUCGCGCUCUCUCUGGGGUUUCCCGGACAAUUUUCGCACUUUGAGCAGAAUGUGUCCGCUCUUUGGACAGGCAGUCAUCUCGCGGUCUCUCAGCGGUUUCUGACGCGGUAAGCUGACGCAUGUGGUGGACCUUCGCUGCCCCGGAACCUGUCUAAGAGAACGUAUGUAGUUGCAUCCAGCUGUCGACCCUAGAAUGCCGCAAAUGCAUCCAAUACCACUCGCGGGCACGUCGGGUCAGGAGCAGGUGAAAACCGCGCAGGACCUCCUUCCACGGGCGUUGAUAUUGCCUAUGCAGGAACUCCAGCCGACACACGAAGUCCUCUACAGAAUGCAUGGCGUCCUCGCCAUCGAACUUGACGUUUCACCGCUCGACCUUCAGACCAAUCCUAACACAGGCUAACUUGUCUACGCGUAAUCUGGACAGUGGACAGCACCUUGAAGUUUAUUUGACUUCUUUCGCGCUUCUGGG